rnacentral:rRNA from 1 species
UACGAAGGGGGCUAGCGUUGUUCGGAAUUACUGGGCGUAAAGCGCACGUAGGCGGGUGGUUAAGUCAGGGGUGAAAUCCCGGAGCUCAACUCCGGAACUGCCUUUGAUACUGGCCAUCUAGAGAUCGGAAGAGGUGAGUGGAAUUCCCAGUGUAGAGGUGAAAUUCGUAGAUAUUCGGAAGAACACCAGUGGCGAAGGCGACUUACUGGACACAUAUUGACGCUGAGGUGCGAAAGCGUGGGGAGCAAACAGG